rnacentral:tRNA from 4 species
GUUGGGAUAGCUCAGUUGGUAGAGCAGAGGACUGAAAA